UUAGAGUUUGAUCCUGGCUCAGAUUGAACGCUGGCGGCAUGCUUUACACAUGCAAGUCGAACGGCAGCACGGGGGCAACCCUGGUGGCGAGUGGCGAACGGGUGAGUAAUGCAUCGGAACGUGUCUUCGAGUGGGGGAUAACGCACCGAAAGGUGUGCUAAUACCGCAUAAUCUCUACGGAGAAAAGCAGGGGAUCGCAAGACCUUGCGCUCUUGGAGCGGCCGAUGUCUGAUUAGCUAGUUGGUGAGGUAAAGGCUUACCAAGGCGACGAUCAGUAGCUGGUCUGAGAGGACGACCAGCCACACUGGGACUGAGACACGGCCCAGACUCCUACGGGAGGCAGCAGUGGGGAAUUUUGGACAAUGGGGGAAACCCUGAUCCAGCCAUGCCGCGUGAGUGAAGAAGGCCUUCGGGUUGUAAAGCUCUUUCAGCCGGAACGAAACGGUCACGGCUAAUACCUGUGACUACUGACGGUACCGGAAGAAGAAGCACCGGCUAACUACGUGCCAGCAGCCGCGGUACGCC
rnacentral:rRNA from 1 species